GAUGAACGCUGGCGGCGUGCCUAAUACAUGCAAGUCGAGCGAACAGACGAGGAGCUUGCUCCUCUGACGUUAGCGGCGGACGGGUGAGUAACACGUGGAUAACCUACCUAUAAGCCUGGGAUAACUUCGGGAAACCGGAGCUAAUACCGGAUAAUAUCUUUAACCGCAUGGUUCAAUAGUGAAAGACGGCUUUGCUGUCACCUAUAGAUGGAUCCGCGCCGCCUUAGAGAGUUGGUAAGGUAACGGCUCCCCAAGCCAACGAGGCGUAACCGACCGGAUAGGAUAUCCGGCACCAAUGGAACGAGGACACGGAGCAGACUCCUAAGGAAGCCAGCAGGAGGGAAUCUUCGGAAAUGGAGGAACACCUGACGGACAAACGCCCCGUGAGUGAUGAGGGUCUUCGGAUCGAAAAAGUCCGUUAUAAGGGAGGAACAUAUGUGUAAGGAAAGAUGCACGACGUGACGGUACAUAAUCAGAAAGCCACGGCUAACUACGUG
rnacentral:rRNA from 1 species